UUUGACUUCCCCAUAUGGCUCGCUACUCCUUCCUCUUGGCCCUCCUCCUCCUCCUCUUCGCCGCCGUGUCCAGCGCCGCCGACGACAUCCUGAUCCGUCAGGUGGUGCCGGAUGCCGUCGGCGAAGCGGCGGAGAAGGAGGAGGACCACCUGCUGAACGCGGAGCACCACUUCGCGAGCUUCAAGGCGAAGUUCGGGAAGAAGUACGCGACCAAGGAGGAGCACGACCGUCGCUUCGGCGUCUUCAAGUCCAACCUCCGCAGAGCGAGGCUGCACGCCAAGCUCGACCCCUCCGCCGUCCACGGCGUCACCAAAUUCUCCGAUCUCACUCCGGCCGAGUUCCGCCGCCAAUUCCUGGGCUUCAAGCCGCUGCGCUUG
rnacentral:lncRNA from 1 species